rfam:Schizophyllum commune H4-8 unplaced genomic scaffold SCHCOscaffold_3, whole genome shotgun sequence.
GUCGGUAUCGAUUAGGGGUGAAAUCAUCUCGUUGUGGAAGGGAAGGAUCCACAGGAUUCGAACCAGUAACUCCGAGAAGCCGCAGGUUCGAAUCCUGCUACUGACA